GAUGAACGCUGGCGGCGUGCCUAAUACAUGCAAGUCGAGCGAACCGACCAGGCGCUUUCUCCUUUGACAUUAGCGACGGACGGGUGAGUACCACGUGGAUAACCUACCUAUAAGACUGGGAUAACUUCGGAAAACCGGAGCUAAUACCGGAUAACACGUUGCACCUGAUGGUUCAUCAGUGCAUGACGGUCUUGCUGUCACUUAUAGAUGGAUCCGGGCGGCAUUCGCUAGGUGGUAAGGUAACGGCUUACCAAGGCAACGACGCGUAGCCGACCUGAGAGGGGGAUCGGCCACACUGGAACUGAGACACGGUCCAGGCUCCUACGGGAGGCAGCAGUAGGGAAUCUUCCGCAAUGGGCGAAAGCCUGACGGAGCAACGCCGCGUGAGUGAAGAAGGUCUUCGGAUCGUAAAACUCUGUUAUUAGGGAAGAACAAAUGUGUAAGUAACUAUGCACGUCUUGACGGUACCUAAUCAGAAAGCCACGGCUAACUACGUG
rnacentral:rRNA from 1 species